rnacentral:rRNA from 1 species
UACGAAGGGGGCUAGCGUUGCUCGGAAUCACUGGGCGUAAAGCGCACGUAGACGGUUAUGUAAGUCGGGUGUGAAAGCCCCGGGCUCAACCUGGGAAUGCCAUUCGAGACUGCAUAGCUAGGGUGCGGAAGAGGGAAGCGGAAUUUCCGGUGUAGCGGUGAAAUGCGUAGAUAUCGGAAGGAACACCAGUGGCGAAAGCGGCUUCCUGGUCCAGCACCGACGUUCAGGCACGAAAGCGUGGGGAGCAAACAGG